rnacentral:rRNA from 1 species
CCCUUAGAUGUUCUGGGCUGCACGCGUGCUACAAUGGCGUUUCCAGCAAGUCUGUGAACCCGAGAGGGCCAGCGGAUCUUCGAAUUGGCGUCGUGAUCGGGACAGUCGAUUGCAAUUAUUUGACUCAAACGAGGAAUUCCUUGUAAUCGCGAUUCAUCAUAUCGCGCUGAAUACGUCCCUGCCCUUUGUACACACCGCCCGUCGCUCCUACCGAUUGAGCGAUCCGGUAAAUGUUUUGGAUUGGUGCCGGGGCGGCUAGCUGCCGGUCGCUACGAAAUUUUGUGAACCUUAUCGCUUAGAGGAAGGAAAAGUCGUAACA